GAUCAACGCUGGCGGCGUGCUUAACACAUGCAAGUCGAACGAAGUUUUUCUUUCGGGAGGAACUUAGUGGCGGACGGGUGAGUAACGCGUGGGUAACCUGCCCUGUACAGGGGGACAACAGCUGGAAACGGCUGCUAAUACCGCAUAAGCCCUUAGCACUGCAUGGUGCAUAGGGAAAAGGAGCAAUCCGGUACAGGAUGGACCCGCGUCUGAUUAGCCAGUUGGCAGGGUAACGGCCUACCAAAGCGAUGAUCAGUAGCCGAUCUGAGAGGAUGUACGGCCACAUUGGGACUGAGACACGGCCCAGACUCCUACGGGAGGCAGCAGUGGGGAAUAUUGCACAAUGGAGGAAACUCUGAUGCAGCGACGCCGCGUGAGUGAAGAAGUAUUUCGGUAUGUAAAGCUCUAUCAGCAGGGAAGAAAAUGACGGUACCUGACGAAGAAGCACCGGCUAAAUACGUG
rnacentral:rRNA from 1 species